rnacentral:misc_RNA from 1 species
UACCGCGAUCAAGAGGAUACA